AACGAACGCUGGCGGCGUGCCUAACACAUGCAAGUCGAACGGAUUUGAGGGGCUUGCUCCUCAAGUUAGUGGCGCACGGGUGAGUAACGCGUGGAUAAUCUACCCAAUGCUCAGGGAUAACAUCUCGAAAGGGGUGCUAAUACCUGAUAAGCCCACGGGCUCUUCGGAGUUUGCGGGAAAAGGGGGGGACCUUCGGGCCUCCCGACAUUGGAUGAGUCCGCGUCCCAUUAGCUAGUUGGGGGGGUAAAGGCCUACCAAGGCGACGAUGGGUAGCGGGGCGGAGAGGAUGAGCGGCAACACUGGAACUGAGACACGGUCGAGACUCCUACGGGAGGCAGCAGUGGGGAAUUUUGCGCAAUGGGGGAAACCCUGACGCAGCAACGCCGCGUGAGUGAUGAAGGCCCUUGGGUCGUAAAGCUCUGUCAGAGGGAAAGAAAUGUGGGUGGUUAAUAGCCGUUCCACUUGACGGUACCCUCAAAGGAAGCGCCGGCUAACUCCGUGCCAGCAGCCGCCGUAACAC
rnacentral:rRNA from 1 species